CACAACCUCCACACAGGAGUGUGUCAUGUGACACUGGGGCCUUCACAGAGCUGUCAUUUCCAGAGUGUCCCGUGGCUAGCUCAACAUUAGUGAAAAGAAAAAGAUAUGAGGUCUUAGCUGAUGACUCCUGAUGAAAGUGAGAUCACCGUAAACUGUAUGAGUCCCUCCCCAGUCCCAAAAAUCCACAAAGGAUAUUGUUCUUGAAGUACAGUUGCUGGAGCUUUUUUGGAGGUGUCCUGUUUGUACCCAAAGCUGUGUUGUGGACAAACAACUAUUGAGACCUUCCUACAAGUCAAACAGCAGUGCAGUCACUGUGAAUAUGCCAGUGAGUGGUCCAGUCAGCCUAACAGGCAUGUCUUUGGACUGUGGGAGGAAGCCGAAGUACCCGGUGAGAACCCACGCAUGCACGGGGAGAACAUGCAAACUCCAUGCAGAAAGACCCCCGGCCAGGAAUCAAACCCAGGACCUUCUUGCUGCAAGGUAACAGUGUUAUCAACUGCGCCACCAUGCAGCCCUGACUGCUUCAGUGGUCCAAAAUUCCAGCAAACUACUGUGAGAAGCAUUUGAAAGAAUACCCAAAAUUCUUAGUCAGCUAGGACAGGGGUUCCCAAAGUGGAUCUCGAGACCCCCCGGGGGGGUUCGCAAGAAACCAAGUGGGGGUCAUGAGAUGAUUUUCUGAAUCAUUGUAAAGUGUCAAUUUGAGGAUUAUGGAGGGCCAAAAGGGACUAAAUUAAAUUGAUAAAUAUAUCAUGAAAUAAAUAAGUGUACCAUGAACCAUUUAAAUAUACCAUUAAAUGUCCUGUAAACAAUUUAAUUGUACCAUUGAUUUAAUAAAUUAUAAAUAAUUAAAUAUACCCAUAUUUAUAAAUAAA